AAUUCAGUCCCUUUCUGAAUCGGAACCGAGUAGAGGAAUGAAAAGAUUCUGAUCCUUACUUAAUCCUCUGGAUAAUCCAGUCUAACCUACUGCAGCGGUUUUGUCGCUUAAUCUCACUCUAGAAGAACAGCACGCGCUCCUCGAUCCAGAGAGGGGCCAUGGAGUUGUCGGGUUCCGUCGCCUGCCCCACGGCGGCUCAGGCGCGGCUGCUCCGGCCGCCGGCUGAUCUCCGCCAGCUCGCCUCGCCUCGAUACAUAUCUUGUAGGAGUUUCGCCGCGAGAAGCAAAGUGACCAAGGCAAUGCCUUCACUGAGUGUGAGCUUUCAGCCCGCAUUUCGUCAACCAGUUACCAGGGCUACAUGGAAGAAGAAACACAAUAUUGCAUGCUAUCAGAGACAAGGAGCUCCACAGAUAGAAGCCAAGUCAAUGGAGGAAGUAUAUGAUGCUUUGGCUGAGCACCUUCUUUCUGUUUCACAGAGUAUCGAUAAUCUUGAUUCAAAAUAUAUUGUUGGUCUGGCUGGCCCACCUGGUGCAGGCAAGUCUACUGUUGCCUCUGAAGUGGUUCGACGCGUCAAUAUGCGUUGGUCUCAGAAGCAUGCAAAAGAUAGUUCACUGAAUUCAAAUGAAGACAUUGCGACAAUGCUUCCCAUGGAUGGUUUCCACCUUUAUCGAUCCCAGCUUGAUGCAAUGGAGGAUCCAAAAGAAGCACAUGCAAGAAGAGGAGCACCAUGGACAUUCAACCCAUCACUUUUUCUGAAAUGCCUACAGACCCUAAAGGAAGAGGGGUCAGUUUAUGCUCCAUCAUUUGAUCAUGGUGUUGGUGAUCCAGUCGAGAAUGACAUAUUUGUAAAGCCGCAACACAAAAUAGUGAUCGUCGAAGGGAAUUAUUUAUUACUGGAAGAAGAUGUUUGGAGGGAUAUUAGAGACAUGUUCGAUGAGAAAUGGUUCAUUGACAUUGACAUCGAUGUCUCCAUGCAAAGAGUGCUCCAGAGGCAUAUUGGCACAGGGAAAGAGCCAGAUGUGGCAGCAUGGCGGAUUUCAUACAAUGACCGGCCGAAUGCUGAGCUUAUCAUGGAGUCAAAAAAGGCUGCAGAUCUUGUAAUCAGAUCGGUGGACUACUAAAGCUAGACCCCAUGUUUCUGAUGGCAAUUUUGAUUUUCGGUAAUAAUUGUUGCCCUAUGCCGAUGUUUGUACAUAGAAUAAGUCAGCUGGCUGUUUCCAUCCGUGGUGAUUUAGUGCAUAGAAUAAGAUUUCGUACAAUGACCGGCCGAAUGCUGGGCUUAUCAUGGAGUCAAAAAGGACUGCAGAUCUUGUGAUCAGAUCGAUGGACUACUCAAGCUAGACCCAUGUUUCUGAUGGCAAUUUUGAUUUUCCGUAAUAAUAGUUGCCCUAUGGUGAUGUUUGUACAUAGAAUAAGUCAGCUGGCUGUCUCCAUCCGUGGUGAUUUAGCACAUAGAAUAAGGUAUGCCCCCAUCAAUUUGUUCUCGAGGAAGAACUCAAUAAAUGACACUCUUCAAGUAUCUAAUCAUUAUAUCAUUUUAUUUUAACAUUCCUAUUUGUAACAUUCCUGUUUGUAUACAGUUCUGAAUCCACAAAGCUACAGUGAUAAUAGUGGCUGUAGUUUGCAAA